UACGUAGGGUGCAAGCGUUGUCCGGAAUUAUUGGGCGUAAAGAGCUCGUAGGCGGUUCGUCGCGUCGGCUGUGAAAACCUGAGGCUCAACCUCAGGCCUGCAGUCGAUACGGGCGGACUUGAGUACUGCAGGGGGAGACUGGAAUUCCUGGUGUAGCGGUGAAAUGCGCAGAUAUCAGGAGGAACACCGGUGGCGAAGGCGGGUCUCUGGGACAGUAACUGACGCUGAGGAGCGAAAGCGUGGGGAGCGAACAGG
rnacentral:rRNA from 1 species